rfam:Triticum aestivum genome assembly, contig: Triticum_aestivum_CS42_TGACv1_scaffold_465571_5DS
GGAUGCGAUCAUACUAGCACUAAAGCACCAGAUCCCAUCAGAACUCCGAAGUUAAGCAUGCUUGGGCGAGAGUAGUACUAGGAUGGGUGACCUCCUGGGAAGUCCUCGUGUUGCAUUCC